rnacentral:rRNA from 1 species
ACAGAGUAGCACGGUAAUACGGAGGGUGCAAGCGUUAAUCGGAAUUACUGGGCGUAAAGCGCACGCAGGCGGUCUGACAAGUCAGAUGUGAAAUCCCCGGGCUUAACCUGGGAACUGCAUUUGAAACUGUCAGGCUGGAGUCUUGUAGAGGGGGGUAGAAUUCCAGGUGUAGCGGUGAAAUGCGUAGAGAUCUGGAGGAAUACCGGUGGCGAAGGCGGCCCCCUGGACAAAGACUGACGCUCAGGUGCGAAAGCGUGGGGAGCAAACAGGAUUAGAUACCCCUGUAGUCCCUGUCUCUUAUACAC